rnacentral:rRNA from 1 species
AUAUUGCACAAUGGGCGAAAGCCUGAUGCAGCAACGCCGCGUGAGCGAUGAAGGCCUUCGGGUCGUAAAGCUCUGUCCUCAAGGAAGAUAAUGACGGUACUUGAGGAGGAAGCCCCGGCUACCUACGUGCCAGCAGCCGCGGUAAUACGUAGGGGGCUAGCGUUAUCCGGAAUUACUGGGCGUAAAGGGUGCGUAGGUGGUUUCUUAAGUCAGAGGUGAAAGGCUACGGCUCAACCGUAGUAAGCCUUUGAAACUGGGAAACUUGAGUGCAGGAGAGGAGAGUGGAAUUCCUAGUGUAGCGGUGAAAUGCGUAGAUAUUAGGAGGAACACCAGUUGCGAAGGCGGCUCUCUGGACUGUAACUGACACUGAGGCACGAAAGCGUGGGGAGCAAACAGG